rnacentral:rRNA from 1 species
UACGAAGGGGGCUAGCGUUGCUCGGAAUCACUGGGCGUAAAGGGUGCGUAGGCGGGUCUUUAAGUCCGGGGUGAAAUCCUGGAGCUCAACUCCAGAACUGCCCUUGAUACUGGCGGUCUCGAGUCCGGGAGAGGUGAGUGGAACUGCGAGUGUAGAGGUGAAAUUCGUAGAUAUUCGCAAGAACACCAGUGGCGAAGGCGGCUCACUGGCCCGGUACUGACGCUGAGGUGCGAAAGCGUGGGGAGCAAACAGG